UUCACAACAUUUACUCUGUUAAAGUGUGGUGCAUCCGCAGGUCACGCGCGGUGUAUUUAUACACCAUCGAGUCUAAUUCCUGUAAACAGCCGGAGGGAAGGGUGGACAGAAACCAUUAGAAACCCAAGAUUAGAUAAAAAAAGGUGUUUUUUCUAUGAAGGAUUUAAUAAAUGGACAAUUUGCCAUGUUGGGUUUUUCUUUGUUUUGGUUAAAAAAAAAAAAAAUUCCACUUCAAAACUGGACAGAAAUCCAAAAAAAAAACAUCUAAAAAUCUCAAAAAUACAAAUUUUUGUGAAUUAGGCUAAAGGUGAAGCUUCGGUGGACGCUUUUGGAACGCCGGAACUCGUUCACACUUUGCCGAUCACCGCCGUCUCUCUGGAGCUGAUCCAAAAUGGACGACACGAAUCGUAAUGAGCAUGACUUUAUUGAUGAAGUUGACGAUAGCCGUGGCCGGCUGCUCCGGAUCGAGUUCUGCAAACAGUUUGCAGGGCAGAGAGACAGGUGUGAUGGAGUGCUGGUAUACCAGAGCAGACAGAGAUCCUGCAA